AUCGACAUUAUUCCUUUCUCUUACCCCUUUAAGGAACUGAAUGAAGUAAUUUUACCUGGCAGGGACAUUAAAGGGGCAAACAUACUUGUAGAUCCUAAUGGUGAAAUUAAGCUGGCUGAUUUUUGCAUGGCUAAACACAUCACAUCUUGUACUUCGGUGUUGUCUUUCAAAGGAAGCCCUUACUGGAUGGCUCCUGAGGUUAUAAUGAACUUUAGCGGGUACAAUCUAGCUGUGGACAUUUGGACUCUUGGAUGCACAAUUAUUGAGAUGGCAACAUCAAAACCACCCUGGAGCCAGUAUGAGGGGGUGCGAAUACUCAC